GAGAGUUAUUUAGCAGAGAAAAAAGGUUACACACCUAGCAAUUUUUAUUCAUACGCAUAUACCAGUCAUAAUUGUAUUAAAAUGAUGGAAUAUAAGACAAGAACGUGUGCAGAGACUCCAGUGUCACUAUCUAAGGGAACUUAUCUGCACCUCUGAAGGACUUGUUCAGGAUGAAGUUACUUUACGCUUUUACUAUUUUAUGGACCUUGUUCACCACAGCCAAAGGUCUCGACUGUCAGACGUGUUUGAAUCCACAAUGUUUAUCAGAGACCUCAGUGACGUGCACAACAGAAACCAUGUGUGUAACGGCCACCACUCAAGUUAGCCUGGGAGGCGUACCAAACACCGUGAUCACCAAACAAUGUGCGCCACCAUCCACUUGUCCAUCCAUCGGCCCUCAGACUGUCACAAUAAAUGCGGGACUCAGUAAUGUGGUAACAUCGGCUCAGUGCUGCAACACGGACAACUGCAACACAGAAACUUUACCUGCACCGACCAGAAACACAACCGUCAACGAACUGGAGUGCAAUUUUUGCAUUCCCAACACCGACUUGUGCAACAUCAUAGUUGGAUGUGAAGGAAGUGAGAACAGUUGCUUUCAGGGAACAGUGACGGGCAGUCCCAUCGGUGAUGAUAUUCUUGGAUGUGCGUCUACAAACCUUUGUGAUGGUGCUAUGAGCCUGGGGACGCAGCUCUUUCAAACCUUUGGAACCAUCACCAGUGGACCAACCUGCUGCAGCACCCCGUUCUGUAAUGAAAGAUCAACAGGAACAAUGACAACACUCUCCCCAACAUCGGUCACAGGGGGGUCGGAUGGGAGCACGGGAAGUGGGUCAGGUGGGGACGGAGGUUCUGGUGGGGUAACCAGUGGGUCGGGUGGGGACGGAGGUUCUGGUGGGG
rnacentral:lncRNA from 1 species